CCACGAAGCUGGAGCCCCGGACGGGUUGCACGGCACGGAUGGUGUACGGCUGCAGCGGCGACCCGGCGCGGGGCACCCUGGAGAUCAUCUCGGUGAUGCUCCUGGUGCCGAGCACCCCCUGGGCACCCUCGACCAGGGCCUCCAGUGAGGUGGUGCAGAACUUGGCCUCCCACUCGAGGCCCGGGUCCUCGCACAUGCCCAGCGUCUCCUCCAUCUUGGCUGCCUGGGCGGAGCCCUCGGCGACGUUGAACUGGGCGAGGACACCCGGGAGGGCGGAGGAGGAGAAGGGGAUGGCGUCGGCGAUGUGGCGGGGGAGGAAGCCGAGCGGGGCGGUCACCGCCGCGGGGAACCGGAAGGGCAGGCUCUGGCGGACGCGCAGGGCCUCCUCGCGGAAGAAGACGGCCAUCUUGGUGUCGGCGAGCUCCUCGGUGGCGCGUGCAGCGACGGAGGAAGCUGGAAGGCUGUACUUGUAGUAGAAAGCAUGGCUCUGCUGUCCAACCUGAAACAACGUGACGUACAGAGAUAUUGAGUUUGCCCGUGCUUGUUCGUACACAGAAAGUCAGAAAAGAUGCGUGCAGCAGGUGUGUGUUAGUGGAUGCUUACCGCGAACAGGACGAGGAGAGCAGUGAGCAUCGGUACGCGCGCCAUUGGAGCUAAUGGCCAGAAGAAGGAAGAAUCCCGUUCCUGUGUUGGAAUGAGGAGGCGUACAGGAAGAGGGUCGUAUUUAUAGGAGUCGCCGAUGAAAGUUAAACUGGAGUCAUCAUCUCUUCCUUCUGUGUGUAUGAUGUUGAGAUAUCUUUGAAGUCUGAUUGGCCGUUGUCAUCAUGUAUCCUUGGUGGCCUUGAUGGGCAAUGUUUGAUUGGUGCAAUAUUUUUCUAGCAUAUUUUGUACAGAUUUGUCAAGUCGGUGGGCUGUCGUUCUCGACUUCUCGUUAGUAUAGCUGUCCAUGUGUUGCACGAGAUUGUGAAAUGUCGAGACCGCUUGAUAGUCAUAUAUCAAACUUAUCAUCAGCUACUAGUAUUACGUACAAUUAUUGCAUACUACGUGGUAGGAAGAAAGUUAGUAAAAAGAAUGUCAAUGCCCCCAGCCAUAAGCACUACUCCAGAGGUUCAUCACUGCCGGCUCCAAACCAGUCUUCACCGUCGGUUUGGAUCCAUCGUCUGACUUUCGGUAGUGAUGGGGAUACCCCAUCACCGCUGGUUUUGGAACUGGCGGUGAAGGCCUAUUAAAAAAACAAAAAAAUGGUGCUGUCGGCCGCCUUACGCCCCGGCCUUGCGCUGCCUCGCCGGAUCCGACCGGCCGCAUCUCGCUGGAUCUGGCCGCUGCCGCCCCACCAGCCGCCAACUGCCUUGGUCCUACUGGAUCCGGCUCAUAGAGAGAGAGAGAGGCGUACGGGGAGAGGAAGCUGAGGCCGCCCACCUACACCACCGCAACCAGCUCCUUCUUCGUCGGAUCCGUGCUAGCUCCUUCUUCACUGGAACCUGCACCGCCACCACCGGAUCUAUGUGUGUCCUCACAUGAACUCCGACUAGGGACAACUUUAGAAUAACCAUACAAGUAAAGAGUUUCACAUACAAUUCACAUAAUUGCAAAUCAAUUCAAGUAGCCUUCAAUGGAUAUUCAAUGAACACAAUCAUGGAUACAAAUGGAAUAUCAUCAUAUCUAUGAUUGCCUCUAGGGCAUACCUCCAACAGUCUCCCACUUGCACUAGAGUCAAUCUAGAAGGUACCUAAUACCCAUCACUCUUACAUGCGCAUCAUGCUUAGCCUGCGGGAGUGGUUUUGUCAACGGAUCAGAAAUGUUCAGAUCCGUGUGUAUUUUGCAUAUCUUGAUCUCACCCCGGUUAACGAAGUCUCAAAUGAGAUGAAAUCGCCGCAUUACGUGUUUGUUCUUCUGGUGGUUCCUUGGCUCCUUUGCUUGCGCAAUUGCCCCAUUGUUAUCACAGUAGAGAUUCAAUGGGCUGGACGCAUUCGGGAAUACACCAAGCUCAAUAAGGAAAUUCCUUAUCCAAACACCCUCCUUCGCGGCUUCCGAAGCCGCGAUGUACUCGGCUUCUGUCGUAGAAUCGGCCACCGUCUCCUGCUUGGAACUCUUCCAACUAACAGCACCACCAUUCAGCGUGAACACAAAUCCUGAUUGUGACUUUGAAUCAUCUCUGUCGGUUUGGAAACUAGCAUCGGUGUAACCUGUUACAACGAGCUCCUCCUCACCUCCAUAGACGAGGAACAUGUUUUUAGUCCUUCUCAAGUACUUAAGAAUAUUUUUCACCGCUGUCCAGUGACUCUCACCUGGAUCAGAUUGGUGUCUGCUUGUCAUACUUAGCGCAUAUGAAACAUCUGGGCGAGUACUUAUCAUUGCAUACAUGAUAGAUCCAAUAGCCGAUGCAUAUGGCACUCUACUCAUGCGAUCCCGCUCAUCAGCAGUCGAAGGACACUGAGUCUUGCUGAGAUGUAUGCUAUGUGACAUAGGCAAGAACCCUUUCUUUGCCUCUUCCAUGCUGAACCGCUUCAACACUUUGUCAAUGUAAGUAUCUUGGCUUAAACCUAUAAGCCUUCUCGAUCUAUCUCUAUAGAUCUUAAUGCCCAGAAUAUAUGCCGCUUCCCCUAAGUCCUUCAUCGAAAAACUAUUUUUCAGUGAAGUCUUUACGGACUCAAGCAUAGGAAUGUUAUUUCCAAUCAGUAAUAUGUCAUCCACAUAUAAGAUUAGAAAUACUACAGAGCUCCCACUAACCUUCUUGUAAACACAAGACUCUUCUUCAUUCUUGGUGAAGUCAAACCCUUUGACCACUUCAUCAAAACGAAUGUUCCAACUCCUAGAUGCUUGCUUCAAUCCAUAAAUGGAUCUGUGAAGCUUGCAUACCUUUCCAGCAUUUUUCGGAUCGACAAAACCCUCGGGCUGUAUCAUAUACACGUCCUCAGCUAGGUUUCCAUUCAGGAAAGCUGUUUUGACAUCCAUCUGCCAUAUCUCAUAAUCGAAAUAUGCAGCUAUAGCUAGAAUAAUCUGAAUGGACUUAAGCAUCACUACGGGCGAGAAGGUCUCAUCGUAGUCAACUCCUUGAACUUGUCGAAAACCUUUUUCGACAAGUCGUGCUUUAUAGAUGUGAACAUUUCCAUCCAUGUCCUUUUUCUUCUUAUAGAUCCACUUGCACUCUAUGGCUUUAACACCAUCAGGCGGGUCAACCAAGUUCCAAACUUGAUUGUGUCCCAUGGACUCUAUUUCGGAUUGCAUGGCAUUCUGCCAUUUUUCGGAGUCUUGGUCCAUCAUUGCUUUUGCAUAUGUCGCAGGCUCAUCAUUGUCCAACAAUAAUAUUUCCCGCAUUUCGCGGAGCCUUGCCGACCUUCGUGGUUGUGGUGGUGCUUCUCUUGCCAUGGGUAUCUCAACUUGUUCUGCUACGUUAGCAUCACUCAUUGAUUCUUGCCCGAUCGGCUCAUCUUGAACUUCUUCAAGAUGCACUGUCUUUCCACUCUUUUCUCCUUUGAGAAACUCUUUCUCUAGGAAAACCCCGUUCCGAGCGACAAACACUUUGCCUUCUGAUCGGUUGUAGAAAUAAUAUCCCAAAGUUUCCUUUGGAUAUCCCACGAAAAUGCACUUAUCCGACUUGGGUGUGAUCUUGUCCGACUGAAGUCGCUUGACAAACACUUCACAUCCCCAAAUCUUUAGAAAAGACAAACUAGGAACCUUUCCAGUCCAUAUCUCAUAUGGUGUCUUAACUACGGAUUUAGAUGGUACCCUAUUAAGUGUGAAAGCUGCUGUUUCUAGAGCGUAUCCCCAAAAUGACAACGGUAGGUCCAACUGGCUCAUCAUUGAUCGAACCAUGUCUAACAAAGUUCGAUUACGUCGCUCGGACACACCGUUUCUCUGAGGUGUUCCAGGCGGCGUAAGUUGUGGAACAAUUCCGCAACUCUUUAGAUGAUUGCUAAACUCGUGGCUCAAAUACUCGCCUCCACGAUCAGAUCGUAAGGCCUUAAUUUUCUUGCCACGCUGAUUUUCAACUUCAUUCUGAAAUUUCUUGAACUUUUCAAAGGUUUCAGACUUGUGCCUCAUCAAGUAGACAUAGCCAUAUCUACUAAAAUCAUCAGUGAAAGUUAUGAAGUAUUGGAAUCCUCCUCUAGCCAUCGUGCUCAUUGUUCCGCAUACAUCAUUAUGUACGAGUUCCAACAAGUCUACUGCUCUCUCAGGAAAUCCUGUGAAAGGCGUCUUGGUCAUCUUGCCUAGCAAGCAAGCCUCACAUGUCUCGUAUGAUUCAAAAUCAAACGAAGUUAGAAGUCCAUCAGAAUGGAGCUUCUUCAUGCGCUUUUCACUUAUAUGACCCAAACGACAAUGCCACAAGUAGGUAGGACUCAAAUCAUUAGGCCGAGGCCUUUUAACACUUAUAUUACAGACAGGUGAACCAUCAAGAUUUAAAACAAAUAAUCCAUUCACAAUGGGUGCAAAAGCCAUAAACAUAUUAUUCUUAGAGAUCACACAACCAUUAUUUUCACUCGCAAAUGAAUAACCAUCCUUCAUCAAACAUGAAGGUGUUUCGACUUAAACUAGGAACAAAAUAACAAUUAUUCAACUCUAUAAUAAAUCCUGACGGGAGGUGGAGUUGCAUCGUCCCGAUGGUCAACGCAGCAACUCUUGCAUUAUUGCCCACGCGGAAAUCAACUUCUCCUCUUUCCACGCUUCUACUUCUUAUCAUUCCCUGCAUCGAAUUGCAAAUAUGAGCAACCGAUCCGGUAUCAAAUACCCAAGAAUUAAUAAUUCUAUCAGCGAGAAAUAUGUUGUCUAUAACAUUAACAACAAGCGUACCUGAGGUAGAAGUACUCUUACUUCCGCCAUUCUUCAACGAAGCUAGGUACUGCUUGUAGUUUCUCUUCCAGUGACCAAGUUCAUGACAGUAAAAGCACUCUUUGUCUGGAGCAGGUCCAGGUCCAGCUUUAACCUUGGGCGGUGGGUUUGGCUUGGACGUUCCAGCCUUGCCCUUCUUCUUCCAAGGAUUGCCCUUCUUCUUAAAGCUAGGCUUGUUCUGUAUAGCCAUCACAUGGCUAGUACUAGCGCUUUUCUUGAUGUCUACCUCUGCUGUCUUGAGCAUACCACACAGUUCAUUCAAACCCUUCUCUGUCCCAUGCAUAUGGUAGUUCGAGAUGAAGUUCCCAUAGCUAGGCGGAAGAGAUGAAAGAAUGAAGUCAGUGGCCAACUCUUUGCCCAUUGGGAAGGCCAGCUUCUCCAAUCGCCGAGUGUAACCAACCAUCUUGAUUACAUGUGGUCCUACUGCUGCGCCUUCUGCUAACUUGCACUCCAGAAACGCUUUGGACACAUUGAACCUUUCGGUCCUAGCCUGUGUCUGGAACAUGUCCUUGAGCGCCACGAUCAUAUCGUGUGCCUCAUGAUUUGUUUCGAACUGCAUCUGCAGCUCGGGUUCCAUGCAAGCAAGCAUAAGGCAGCUUACCUCAAGAUUAGCAUCAAAUGCCUUCUUGUAAGCAGCCUUAACGGCAGCAGAUGCAUCAUCAGCAGGUACUGGUGGUAGUGGGGUGUCUAGAACAUCUUCCUUUUUAUCGGCCCUGAGAACAAUUCUCAGGUUACGGAUCCAAUCCGAGUAGUUUGUUCCAUUCAACUUGUCCUUCUCAAGGACCGAACGCAAAGCAAACGAUGUGGUGGUGUUGCUAGGUGCCAUUUAAUCUACAACAAAAGUAAUGCAAAAUACACUAAGACAAACGUAUCCAUGAUAGAGCAAAUUACAUUAAACUAUUUUAACAGAAUCUACUCCCACUAAAAUCAAUAUCCCUCUAUUGAAACUUAGUGAUUCAGGAUCCACAACUAACAAGUCUACUAGUGAGCUUUAGCAUCACCGCUAGCAAACGAGGUAGAUCGGUAAGCAACUUUUGCUAAUCAUAUCACAUAUGACUCCUGUUGUUGGGUGACAUCUCUAUGUCUCGGCACCCAACCUUUAUGCCCCAAGGUCCUUAACUGUUAAGAUAACCUUGUUAAGCAAACCAACCCUUAUGCGUGUAAGUGUCCGACACAAACCCGUCUAGUCAAGGAAAACUAGUGGUACCCUAAUUUCAUAGACCCACCACUAAUUGUACAAGACAUGGAACGGUGCAAGUUUUAGUUGGGAGGGCAUACUAACUUAAACUUUGUGAGGAAUCGUUCUACUUCUAACAUCAUAGCAUGCAGAAAGUAAAACAUAAACAGAAUAGCAUUCACACAAUUGUGACACAGUAUGGCCCGUUUUUCUUAUGGUGAUCUCCAUCUCCAUAGAACCUGUUCACCAUGGUGAUCUCCAUCUCCAUGUUCCAUGUGCGCCAUCCUCCUGGUGAUGAGUCCUCCAAGAACUAGAACAUGCUAUUACGCCUAAUAGCUAGUAAAGAAUCUAGUAAUGAAGAUUACAUAGUUGCUUGGAUCAUCACAGAUUGGUACGCAGACCAUUAAAUACAAUAAAGUGACAACACAUAUGGCUCCUGCCGUGUUGCCGUACGCGCGACACGCAGGUCACGAAUGAGUUACACACAUGCAUCACAUACACAAGGGGGCCAUACUGAUCACAAGAUACAUACAACCAUCCUGCAAAACAGAGUUAGGCAUCCUAACGUUCCAAACUUCGGAGGCCCGAAACUCCAUCUUCCAAGCCGAAUUUGGAAAACCUAAUUUCGCCGAAAACGGCGAAGCGGUUGAAUUUCAUGUGUAACUUUUUCUGUAGAUCAAUUUUCAUAUAAAAUUCGCCCCGAUCCGAGAUCGUACCGAAAAGUUAUGGCUGAUUUACCGAAGCAUACGCAUACGGCAAAAAUCCCGACCCCGGCAGUAGAUCCCAUCUACUAUUGCACAUCUAAUGCGCCUGGCGUAUGACCCUGGAUUUCGAUUCGACCAAUCAUAUUGAUCUUCGCUCACUGCAACUGGAUUUACGUGUAUCACUUAACUCCGAUGGCGGAAACCGACCGGUAGGAGUAUGUCGUUACACUACCAUUACAGCAAGGGCAUGAAACCAGGACAUAGAUCAAACGGAAAACUCGCAUAUCUCCAUAUGCACACAUCCCGAAUCCAAAACUAAGCAGCUACGGCUCUGAUACCACUGUUGGGAUACGAGGUAGGCUACACUAGCGCAAAUCAAAAUUUCUACCGCGUAUAACCAGGAAGAACUGCCGUAUAAGGAUCACGGGAUUACCACUCGACGCACUACUGGUGCGGAAGAUGUAGAUAUGCGUCGAUGCAGUGAAGACGAUCACGUAGUCGUACGUAGUCGAUCAACAUAGUCGUACGUAGUCGAUCACGUCCAGUAGCUCCUCAGCAGCUCGUCCACGUGCAGCAAGAUCGCAUCCGGUGCCGCGGGUCGUCGUCGGCUCGUCGCGGCUCGUCGUGGCUCGUCGGCGGCUCGUCCAAGUGCUGCAGGCGCAACACCUCCAAGGUAUCCACACGUGCAGGGAGGAAGCGUCGCAAGCCGGACUGCUAGAUCCGUGAGUUGCAACAGGUGAGGGCGUGGGAGGCGCGGCAGGUGUGUUUCGCCAAAAGGUAUAAACCCUAGGGCGCCCCCACCCCUCUAUUUAUAGAGGUUCCUGACGGGCCUCUAGGUCCGAGGCCCAUUAGUAAUUCUAAACCUAAUUCAACUCGGAUCAGAUCCGAAUUGGGCUUCCAGCCCCUUAAGUGUGUGACCAUAUGGGUUCGGAUACGUAUAGACAUGGCCCGAGUACUCCUACUCGGCCCAAUAGUCGGUAGCGGCCUCUAGCAAGACGUGCCAACUCCUAUACGCACACGAAGAUCAUAUCAGACGAACCAUCACAACAUAAUAUACAUGCUAUUCCCUUUGCCUCACGAUAUUUGGUCUAGCUUCAAGCCGACCGCUCUUUCUCGAUCCUGUGAUUCGGAAUCCCUUUGUAGGUUAACUCUUAACCGUACGUAGCAUGGCCAUGCAUUUUUGGAUCCGAUCACUCGAGGGGCCCAGAGAUAUCACUCUCAAUCAGAGAGGGGCAAAUCCCAUCUUGAUUGACCAUGUCUCAUAGCAUGCUUCUUGACAAGGAAAUGUGAAUUUCUCUGUGUGUGCAGAAAAAACCCUCAGGGAAAUUCGGCACACACAAGGAAAUUAAUUCGGGUUUCCAGUAGUGUAAUAACCCUGUAUUUUUACAUCAACACGACAUACAUAGAUUUGAAUAAUUAAGUUUACACCUUUAUUACAGACGACGCUGCACUGCUACUAGCAGCUAGGCACUGUGGAGAUGUAGCUAGAGUAGAGAACAUGCAAGGUGGCCGGCAUGAGCCGAUGAACGACGAUGAUACAUUACGUAGACAUGCAUUAUGCGCCCCCUUACGCUGCGACGAUGGACCCCUGACGCUAUGUCAGUGAUGAAUGAUCACUGACGUGUGUUAUUAGCAACCACAUCACGUCGUGCGAUAACGUUAAUAACGUCAGAGGAACCACUUCAUCCCUUACGCCGACGAGAGGCCAGCAUAUUUCUUGGCCCACAAGAUGUGCCCGUACGGCAGGACGUGGCACACCGGCGGGCCGCCGGGCUUGGUGUCGAGGAACCUGAAGGCGACGUGAUCCUUGUCCCACUCCGACGUGUCGGUGUGGCAGACGGAGAACAAGGUGACCUUGUCACCACCGGCGCCCUCCAUCUCCACCUUGUACGCCCGGGCUGGGCCGGUGCUGUGGCACAUGUACACGGUGUACGGGUACUCCUUCUGGUGGCACCCCACGAAGCUGGAGCCCCGGACGGGUUGCACGGCACGGAUGGUGUACGGCUGCAGCGGCGACCCGGCGCGGGGCACCCUGGAGAUCAUCUCGGUGAUGCUCCUGGUGCCGAGCACCCCCUGGGCACCCUCGACCAGGGCCUCCAGUGAGGUGGCGCAGAACUUGGCCUCCCACUCGAGGCCCGGGUCCUCGCACAUGCCCAGCGUCUCCUCCAUCUUGGCUGCCUGGGCGGAGCCCUCGGCGACGUUGAACUGGGCGAGGACACCCGGGAGGGCGGAGGAGGAGAAGGGGAUGGCGUCG
rnacentral:lncRNA from 1 species